rnacentral:rRNA from 1 species
GAUGAACGCUGGCGGCGUGCCUAAUACAUGCAAGUCGAGCGAACGGACGAGAAGCUUGCUUCUCUGAUGUUAGCGGCGGACGGGUGAGUAACACGUGGUAACCUACCUAUAAGACUGGGAUAACUUUGGGAAACCGGAGCUAAUAACGGGAAAUAUUUUGAAACGCCUGGUUUCAAAGUGGAAGAAGGUUUUUCUGUUACCUAUUGAUGGAUCCGCGCUGCAUUAGCUAGUUGGUAAGGUAACGGCUUACCAAGGCAACGAUGCAUAGCCGACCUGAGAGGGUGAUCGGCCACACUGGAACUGAGACACGGUCCAGACUCCUACGGGAGGCAGCAGUAGGGAAUCUUCCGCAAUGGGCGAAAGCCUGACGGAGCAACGCCGCGUGAGUGAUGAAGGUCUUCGGAUCGUAAAACUCUGUUAUUAGGGAAGAACAUAUGUGUAAGUAACUGUGCACAUCUUGACGGUACCUAAUCAGAAAGCCACGGCUAACUACGUG